UCCCCGUGGGGCGUGCCUAAUACAUGCAAGUCGAGCGGACAGAAGGGAGCUUGCUCCCGGAUGUUAGCGGCGGACGGGUGAGUAACACGUGGGUAACCUGCCUGUAAGACUGGGAUAACUCCGGGAAACCGGAGCUAAUACCGGAUAGUUCCUUGAACCGCAUGGUUCAAGGAUGAAAGACGGUUUCGGCUGUCACUUACAGAUGGACCCGCGGCGCAUUAGCUAGUUGGUGAGGUAACGGCUCACCAAGGCGACGAUGCGUAGCCGACCUGAGAGGGUGAUCGGCCACACUGGGACUGAGACACGGCCCAGACUCCUACGGGAGGCAGCAGUAGGGAAUCUUCCGCAAUGGACGAAAGUCUGACGGAGCAACGCCGCGUGAGUGAUGAAGGUUUUCGGAUCGUAAAGCUCUGUUGUUAGGGAAGAACAAGUGCAAGAGUAACUGCUUGCACCUUGACGGUACCUAACCAGAAAGCCACGGCUAACUACGUGCCAGCAGCCGCGGUAAUACGUAGGUGGCAAGCGUUGUCCGGAAUUAUUGGGCGUAAAGGGCUCGCAGGCGGUUUCUUAAGUCUGAUGUGAAAGCCCCCGGCUCAACCGGGGAGGGUCAUUGGAAACUGGGAAACUUGAGUGCAGAAGAGGAGAGUGGAAUUCCACGUGUAGCGGUGAAAUGCGUAGAGAUGUGGAGGAACACCAGUGGCGAAGGCGACUCUCUGGUCUGUAACUGACGCUGAGGAGCGAAAGCGUGGGGAGCGAACAGGAUUAGAUACCCUGGUAGUCCACGCCGUAAACGAUGAGUGCUAAGUGUUAGGGGUUUCCGCCCCUUAGUGCUGCAGCUAACGCAUUAAGCACUCCGCCUGGGGAGUACGGUCGCAAGACUGAAACUCAAAGGAAUUGACGGGGGCCCGCACAAGCGGUGGAGCAUGUGGUUUAAUUCGAAGCAACGCGAGGACCUUACCAGUCUUGACAUCUCUGACACCUAGAGAUAGGGCUUUCCCUUCGGGACAGAUGACAGUGUGCAUGAUUGUCGUCAGCUCUGUCUUGAGAUGUUGGGUUUAAGUUCCCGCAACGAGCGCCAACCCCUUGAUCUUAAG
rnacentral:rRNA from 1 species